rnacentral:lncRNA from 12 species
UCUGGCAGGAAGAAGUAGCAAGCUCAGACCAUGGAGAAAAGAAAUGAGACACUGACCCAAUGUAUUCCAACAAUGCACCAUUCAUUCAACGGGUACUCUAUCCUUUGUGAAGGAAAACACUUAUGAGGAUACAAAGAACAUCAUAAUUCUUACUCCUAACAGCUGAAAACAAGGACAAC